ensembl:snoRNA SNORA66 Small nucleolar RNA SNORA66
AUGCAAACUCGAUCACUGGCUCUGCAUGAUGUAGCAGAAGCAAGGGGAACAGGUUUGCUAAAUUAAACGUGGUCACAGAAGUUUACUAGCCUUAAAUUAGCAAGGCUGCUUACUCUAUACCAUGACAACA